GGGGGCGAAUUGGAUUCGACCGGGUAGUUAGAAGUGAGGGUUGCGUGUCGUGGUUGGUCAGUUGGCCACGUUAAAAGCUGACUAAUAAAUUUAGUUGCAGAUGCAAAUCUAGCACUGGCUGCUUAAAUAAAGUAGCCCUGGCUGAGGAGGUUCGCCGGAGACGUCCGACUGCCAGCCGCAAAUCCGGAUCGUCUUUUACCGUGUAGGGCACGUAGAAGAUUAACUAAAGCUCCCUGCUGGCUUGGGACGUAGCCUCGUCGAUGGGCGACGAAACAAGUGAGACUUAAAUUGUCGAAUACACACGUAGACGCUUUCAUGGAAAUAUCGCGGGACGCGGGUUCGAUUCCCGCCGCCUCCACUA
rnacentral:tmRNA from 1 species